rnacentral:misc_RNA from 1 species
AAGUCGUAACAAGGUUUCUGUAGGUAAACCUGCGGAAGGAUUAUUACCUUUCUGGCUAUUUAAUAGCUUGUCUAGGGGGCUGCAGUUUUCUGCAGUCUCUAACUACAUCCGUGUUUUUUUGCGUACUACAUGUUUCCUCGGCAGGCUUGCUUUGCCCAGUUAAAACAAAACUAAAAACUCUUUGCAAUUGCAAUCAGCGUCUAAAAUUAUAUAAUAAUUUACAAC